CCUAUCUCCAUUCCUCUGUGACUCCUGAUGAAUUGAGGGAUCAUUCUCUACCAGGGACCCACAGUGGCCACACCAGGCUGAGACUCAGGCAGCCCACCAUCCUGUCCGUCAUUCCGGUCUCUCCAGACUUAAGUCUUAUUGUGGCUUAGUUUUAUGGAUUACAGGAAUAUAAACAAGGAAUCAUGCCUGCCUUCAGAACUUUUUUUUAUGAGAAAGCAUACAUGAAUUCUGGUGGGUAACAUCACCUUUGUGGAUGAAGACACUUACCAGAAUUUAAAUAUGCAGUUGGCCUCUCUCACAACUUGUUUGUGCCUUGGCAGCAGGCAAUGAAGAGCUAAUGAAGGCUGACCACUUUCACACAUGAAGUGAUGCCCAGUGAUGUGUGACGCAUUCUGGAAAGGGCAACGGCAGCAGGAAGACAAUUACACCCAAUUUGGGAGAAGCAACUUUCCAAAUACUGAGUACUUCUCAUAUGUCUCUGAGUUGAGAGGUUUAAAUUUCCAUUAACCUAGAAGAGGUCUGAGCUGAGGAUGGACGAUCUUUGGCUUGGUUUUCGGGUAACUUGACAGGGUCUGCGACUUUGGCUCUCUAUAUGAACCACAUUGCCAGAGUUUUAGUUUAGCUACAGCAAAGGUUCUCAUUGGAGGAAAGAAGAAAUGCAAGUUCAUCUGUUUUUCUAUCCUUGGUGCUUUAUCAGCAAGCUCCUGCUUAUCACACAGGGCCCAUCUGUGCACUUAAUAAAAGCAGGGGGCUCUCCACUGAGGAGAAGCCAAUUCCCCAUUGUUUGUCCAGUAGGUGUGAGAGACAUGAUCUGUGAAAACAAACUUUGUUGUCCCCCUUUAAAACAGGGGCCAUUUAAACCUUGCUGCCUUCUAACAAAAUGUAGAAACACAUGGUAAGCCUUCUUUCAAAACCCCAUAUUUCCCCCCUUGCUAGUCUGUGUUCUAGAUGGUGCGGAUUUUCAUCCUGCCCAAGAGAGAACAUGGUAACACCGGAUGUACCAUGUAUGGAGAAAGGCUGCUUGAAGUAUGGUUGCCAUCUGGAUUACCAACCCUCAGAUUCAGAGCGUUAGGGUCCCCGGCACUGUAGAGCAGACACUUUUAUACAGUUAUGCCUUCUGUGUGUGGUGUCUGAGAGACAAAUAUAUAUGGAGGGCAAUGUUUAAGGGAACUCACCCUUUAAAUGAUCACUGACUGUUGCCUUUCAGGAAUAUUAUACAUUAGCCGUGAUAUUAGUGCUAGUGCCUCCGAUAGUCUUAGUAUCUGUGCUAUUUUAAAAGUGCCAAUACUAAUGUGAGUAUCAAUAUUUGUGUUAGUGUUGUAAGGAAAAAACCCUAGAGCAAUGUUUUGACACAAGUCAGAGCCCAAGAAAUGUUUAUUUCCUUCCACUGAAGUUUUGUUUCU
rnacentral:lncRNA from 1 species